UACAGAGGUCUCAAGCGUUGUUCGGAUUCACUGGGCGUAAAGGGUGCGUAGGUGGCCGGGUAAGUUCGGUGUGAAAUCUCGGAGCUCAACUCCGAAAUGGCAUUGAAUACUAUCCGGCUCGAGGGUCGGAGGGGAGACUGGAAUUCUCGGUGUAGCAGUGAAAUGCGUAGAUAUCGAGAGGAACACCAGUGGCGAAGGCGAGUCUCUGGACGACUCCUGACACUGAGGCACGAAAGCCAGGGGAGCAAACAGG
rnacentral:rRNA from 1 species